rnacentral:rRNA from 1 species
AUGGCGAGGUACUGGUUGAGCAGCUCGGUUGAUCGAAAAUCUCUACACUGGAUUGACUGGCGUUCACUAGCUAAACCAAAGGUUGCUGGAGGGAUGGGGUUUCGUCAGUUGGAGCUUUUCAAUUUAGCUCUACUUGGAAAGCAUAGUUGGAACUUAAUCACGAACCCGGAAUCCCUUUGUGCUCGAGUUCUUAAGGGCAAGUAUUUCUCGAACAAUGAUUUCAUGGAGGCCACCAUCCCAAAGUGUGCCUCGACUACGUGGAGGGCGAUCAUUGCCGGUAGAAAAGCUCUGGGUGCGGGGCUGAUCAAACGAGUUGGAGACGGCACCACGGUGUCCGUUUGGAACGACAGCUGGGUGCCCGGACUGAUUUCCCUGAAGCCUUCUAUUCACAUGGGUAACAUUGCUAUUUCAACAGUUUCUGAACUUAUUAAUGUGGACAUAGGCAUGUGGAAAAUUGAUAUGGUGAAGCAACAUUUUUGA